rnacentral:rRNA from 1 species
AACGAACGCUGGCGGCAUGCCUAACACAUGCAAGUCGAACGAGAUCUUCGGGUCUAGUGGCGCACGGGUGCGUAACGCGUGGGAAUCUGCCCUUUGGUUCGGAAUAACAGUUGGAAACGACUGCUAAUACCGGAUGAUGACGAAAGUCCAAAGAUUUAUCGCCAGAGGAUGAGCCCGCGUAGGAUUAGCUAGUUGGUGUGGUAAAGGCGCACCAAGGCGACGAUCCUUAGUUGGUCUGAGAGGAUGAUCAGCCACACUGGGACUGAGACACGGCCCAGACUCCUACGGGAGGCAGCAGUGGGGAAUAUUGGACAAUGGGCGAAAGCCUGAUCCAGCAAUGCCGCGUGAGUGAUGAAGGCCUUAGGGUUGUAAAGCUCUUUUACCCGGGAUGAUAAUGGCAGUACCGGGAGAAUAAGCUCCGGCUAACUCCGUGCCAGCCGCCGCGGUAA